GAAACAGCACAUUUUCAGUGACCCUCAAGGACAUUUCUUGCCGUAUUUACUUUGGUUACAGGUAUUGCUUUAUCCGACUGUUUAUCUUCAAGAUGUUUUGGUUCAUCUAAGAGUAUUUAGGUCAGAUCCGAGCUCACGUUUCAGCUACAAAUGACCUAUUUCUGGCCUGGCUGUCACACAGAGCAGGAAACAUCAGGCUCGCAACGGAGCCCGACCGUGCACGUGUGUGCGAGCAACUUUUAAAAAUGGCAGCUGAAAAAGGUGCCCACCGCUCGUCAUACUUACAAAUCCAUAGCCUCUGGAUUUGCCCGUCUGCCGGUCCGUGAUGACAACAGCCUCCUCGAUGUCUCCAAACACCUCGAAGUAUUUCCUGAGGCUGGAGUCGGUGGUGUGUCAGAGACUGUGAAGAAAAACGCGCUCAGAGGAGUUGCGGGAGUGAGUGUGCGGCGCGGACAGGACAGGCAGCCCCCCGGUGAUGUGACUGACUGUGGGUCUGAGGCAGGAGGAGGAGGAGGAGGAGGAGGAGGAGGACACCUGUUAGUUUGUUACGGGAGAUUUCCCAGUUGUCAGAGCGUGUGACACAGAAACUUAACUCCACCCAGAUCCAGACCACCGCACCGGAUGCCGACCGUCGCGCAGCUGCUCCAACACGCUGCGCAACAAGUCGGUCUCAUAAAGUUUCUGUCCAAGUCUGAAGAGGAUGCAGCCAGGCCACGUAGAGGUUUUUACAUCUCUCCCAGAGCUGUGGCAGGAGUUUAGAUUGAGCGACUGACUUUAUUUUAGAACCAGAACAUAAUAAUAAUAAAAAAAAGAAUAAAAAAAAAAAAAAAAAGUGAAAGUGUCCAUAUAGGAGUGGGUAGAAGUAAAACUCAUACAUCCCCAGCCCUCUCUCACUGUUCCUCUUUUAACCCAUUAUUUCAACAAAUUAUCGCAACUGAUAUACAAACAGCCACCCCCAGUUUUGUGUCACCCAAUUAAAUAAAAUCCCGGUUCAUUUACAAUCCAAAUAUCCACCCAGUGUUAGAUGAUAGAUAAUACAACCUCUCCACCUCCACAUACCAGCCAAAAAUACCUUUAAAAAAAGUUUAAAUUGAUUUAUAUUUGUGCUUUGUUUCAACUCAUCAUGCAACCCCUUCCACAGGUCCACCCCAUACACACUGACAUACACAGACUCAGUUAUUUUUUUCCAACACAUUUUAACAUUACGUCCCUCUCACAAAACUCCCCCCCCCCCCCCUUUUUUUUUUAAUGUUGCCCAGAAGUAAAUUUCUUUUGCUUUCAACAUGACUGUUGCUGUUCUAAAUUUGACCAGAUAAGUACAUUUCAAUGCCCGUGACUUUAAAAACAGUGUGGUCAUUUUUUUAUUUCAUAAAACAAAAGU